rnacentral:rRNA from 1 species
UUAUUAUUUACAAUAAUAGUUUAUUUGUGAAAUUCAAAUUAAUUUGAAAGCAUAAUUUUGUUUAUAUUAAUGUUUAUUAAUUUUUAUUUACAAAAAAUAUUUAUUUAAAUAGUAUUUUUAAAAGAAAUAGUUUUUAUAAAACUUUGUUUAGUACUUUGCAGGAAUUGUUUAUUUUAAUUAAAAGAAUUUUUUAAUAAAGUACCUUUUGUAUCAGGGUUUAUUAAUUAAACACUAUUUAUUUAUAGUUUUCCCGAAAUUUUUUGAUCUAUGUUUUUAUGAUUUUUGAUGUGUUAUAAUCAUGUUAAAUAGAAAUAUAGUUAUGAUAUAUAAUUCAUAUAAAAUAUAUCUGGUUCCCAAAGAAAUUAAUUUAAUUAGUUCUUUUAUUUUAAGGAAAAUAAGUUUAUUUUAUAUAAAAGAUAAACAAGGUUGGGUUUAGCUAACCUUGUUUGAAUAUAACAGUUCUUUUUACAAUUAUUGUAGGAUUAGAAACUUCCAUCAUUAAUUUCGUUAUAGUUUAUAUUGUUGAAGUUUUUAUUUAUUAAUUGUUUAUAUAAUAUAUUUGGGUUAAUAAUUUAAUUUAUUUAUUUUUAUAAUAAUGAUAAAAUUAGUAUUUUUAAAAAUAAAAUAUAUGAAUUAGGCAAAACAUAUUUUCACCUGUUUACCAAAAACAUGUCCUUUUGAUGAUAAUUUAAGGUCUAAUCUGCCCACUGAUUUAAUUUAAUGGCCGCAGUAUUUUAACUGUGCAAAGGUAGCAUAAUCAUUUGUCUUUUAAUUGGGGACUAGUAUGAAUGAUUGGAUGAGAAAUAUUCUUUGUUUGUUUUAUUUUAAAAAACUUUAUUUUUUAGUUAAAAAGCUAAAAUUUUAUUAUUAGACGAGAAGACC